UCCCAUAGAUGUUACGGUGUUAUUUAUAUUAUGCACUUGCACUAUAUUGCAGAUGGAUCAGUGGAAGACAAUGCGAUGAGGAAGACUGGAGAUGAAUCACUAUUUGCUAUAAAUGAACCUAGUUCAGUAAUGAGGAAGCAUACAAUACGGAAAAGACAAUUAGGUGGAUUGUUUCUACCCGGGGCACACGCACAAGCCAGCGCCAUCAAUCAUCGACCCGGCCUCGGACUUGGGCUUGGACUAGGACCAAGACUAUCCCACGUGGGAGGCGACUCACUUUUCGGCAGGAUUCCAGGCGUUGGACUAGGGGGACUUUCUGCAGCAAACUCCGCAUCUGCGCAGGGACUCCAUCUGGGUCCAGGAGGAAUUUCGGCUGCGUCAGCACAAACCGGAAGUCAAGGGUUGUCUUUCGGAAAUCAUCGUAUCAACAUCGCUCAUAGCAAUGACUUUUCGAUUGAAAACGGCAGACCGAGGUUACUGCGAGGAAGUUCGAUAAGUAUUGUUUGAUCUCAACUUUAGGCAACAAAUCUUAGAAAAUUGUUCAAUUUAAUUAUUUAAUGUCAUACCACA